UUUUCCCAGUAGUGAUGUAUGGAAGUGAGAGCUGGACCAUAAAGAAGGCUGAUCGCCGAAGAAUUGAUGCUUUUGAACUGUGGUGCUGGAGGAGACUCUUGAGAGUCCCAUGGACUGCAAGAAGAUCAAACGUAUCCAUUCUUAAGGAAAUCAGCCCUGAGUGCUCACUGGAAGGACAGAUCGUGAAGCUGAGGCUCCAAUACUUUGGCCACCUCAUGAGAAGAGAAGACUCCCUGGAAAAGACCCUGAUGUUGGGAAAGAUUGAGGGCACAAGAAGAAGGGGACGACAGAGGACAAGAUGGUUAGACAGCGUUCUCGAAGCUACAAACAUGAGUCUGACCAAACUGCAGGAGGCAGUGGAAGAUAGGAGUGCCUGGCGUGCUCUGGUCCAUGGGGUCAUGAAGAGUCGGACACGACUAAACGACUAAACAACAACAAGUAAAUGUUGGAAGCUGAACAUUGAAAGAUACAGGGCAUACAAAAGGAAGUACUACAAGCAUGGUUAAGCUUUGGCAUUUGCCCCUACAAGAGGUUGUGAUGGGCAGCAACGUAAUUGGCAUUAAAAGAGGAUUAGACAAAUUCAUGGAGGAUAAGGCUAUGAAUAGCUACUAGCCACCACUGUUGGAGGCAGCAUGCCUCUGAACACCAGUUGCCUGGAAUCACAGGUGGAGUGUGUGUUGCUGAGGUCAGGAUUUGCUUGCACCUUUCAGGUUUCCUAUUGCCAUCUGGUUGGCCAAUGGGACAGUAAUAUAUCUGUUCAGUAUAAUGCAAUUGUUUUCAAACCAUGGGAUGUGGCUGCCUCUCGAGAAGAAGAAGAAGCCAAGAUCUAGGUGGGUUCAAUGUUGCCUGGAAGUGAUCUUGUGAGUAAAGCCCCAACAUCACAAUGUAGUUUAGGAAGAAGGACAUUGUUCUGUUUCACUGUGUAUGACUGGAUAGCUCAAUUGGUUAAAGUGUGGUGCUGAUCACGCCAAGGUUGCAGGUCCGAUCCCCUUAUGGGACAGCUGCAUAUUCUUGAAUUGCAGGAGGUUAGACUAGAUGAUCCUCAGAGUCCCUUCCAACUCUAUGACCCUCAGACAAAUGAAACAGAAUUUGCGACCCAGCUGAAGGAGGAGAUGAGAGGUAUCUUCCUCUUUUCCUGUUCUAAUGCCAGGGUGGGAUUACGACCCCAGCCCACAGGUGGUUGCAUACACACCACUACACUGAAGGAUCUCUGCAAAGUGAGGAACAGAGGACUGGUGCUGGGUUGCGGGGUUACAGAAAUUAGUUUAGAAGGGGGCUGGCUGAAUUUAGAGGGGGGGUUUUACAAGCUGUGAUAUGAUGGCUAAGGGAGAUGUCUGCCUCUCCCCUAUUAGCAUACAACAAGGCACAAGGAAUGAUGAGAUUGGUGCAAAGGAGGGAAGGAAGGUCAGGAUCAAGUGUGGCAGGUGGAACAUUUUGAUAUUGCAUCAAAAGCAUCAGAUUCCUAAGAAAAGCCUUUGAUUCCCUGAUUGUAAUGUAAAGAGCAGUGGCUUUAAACCCUCUUGAAAAACCCACCUUAACAUAAUCCAGGAGAGAAGAACCUCUUCUGAGUACCAGGCUUGGGCAUGAAAGCACUUGUGUCUCCAGCUGCCAUUAUCACUGUUAAAGGAAGGACAAGUUCUAGGAAGCUGUAAAAAAAUAAAAUAAAAUCAGGGUGUCUGCAUCUCUGAGCAAAACAACUGAUAGGCUGCAUGUUUUUCUAAGCCCUUACCUUGAAGGAGAUCAUUUGACUUUAAUAGGAUUAUUUCAGACCCUCUGGUUACAGGGUUGCAGCCCUGAGGAGCUUAAUAUUAUCUACUGUCUUGAGGACAAACCUUCAGAAAGGUCAGCAUGUUCUUAGCUGUGAAAACUUUGCAUGCAGAAAAUGUGAGAAGCAGCUAAUGAGCAAAGCAUCUAGUCGCUUCAGAAGGUUACACUUCAUUUGGGAGUUUUAUACCUUUACAUGACUGUAACCUAGAGAGAUUGGCAGGAAUAGUCCGUCUGGAAAGGCAUUGCUUCAGCUUUCAGGCAGGCCUUUCCAGUUUGGAAAUUUGGUACAAAACUGAAAGUGUGCAAAAGCAACUGGAAAAGAAGGAAAGAGACUUGUCCAUUGCCUUAUUGAAAUUAGUGGACCUAACAUAUUCAUGUUCAUUGAAUUCAGUGGAUCCACUUUGAGUAAAAUUUAAUUGAAUACCACCCAUCCUUGUGCACAAUUAUUAUUAUUCAUCACUUUAAAAACUAAAUGUAACCUAAAGUGACUUACAAAAAAGUAGCACAUAAAUUAAAGCCAACAUAAAACUAAAGCUAAAAGCAGAUUCAUAGUCAUUAAAAAGCAUAUUUAUAAAAAGUUUCUGAAGGAGACCACAAAUAUCAAUCCCUUCCAAAUUAAAGGCCAAAGAAAGGCCUGGCAGGAGGGGGGAGGGAACCCACCAUUUUUGCCUCACACCUAAAAAUAGCUUGUGAUGGCGCCAGGCCUGCAGAUCCUCAGUAGGGCUUGUCAGCAGCAGCACAUUUCUUUAUCAACUUCAUGUCAGGCAGAAAUUCAACAGGUGGUGCACUACUUCUCACACAUCUAUAUUCUUGGAGGGGGCGGGAUAAGUGGCAUCUUAAAGGCUAACUAGUUUUAUUAGGGCUGAUGCAUUGGGUGGCAGGAUCCUCAAAGAUGUCCUCUAUGGGAAGCUGGCUUUGGGCACCAGACUUGUUGGCAGACUAACUCUGUGUUACAAAGCUGGCAACAUUAACCCCACCAUAUGGGAAUCCCUUGCAGAUGACAGCAGCAUCAGGAGACAAUCAGUCGGGUUGUGUAUCCAAAGCAGGGACCAGAGGAAGAAUGACCAUUGGGAGGAGCGCAGAAAGAAGAAAUGCCAUGGUACACCUGCGUCAGCACAACUGGAUGCCUUCAUCUGCCCCAACUGCAACAAAACAUGUCUCUUCUGUAUCAGUCUGUACAGCCACAGCAGGCGCUGUAACUCCAAUGGCUUGACCUCACCCCCAAAGGCACACUCCUCCAUCGUCACCCAAGACAGACAAGUGCCAAGCAUGCAUUGGAUAAAAGUGCCACAUGCAAGACCCCUUGUUGCAACAAACAAACAUGGCUCCCCCCCCCAUUUCCACGAAAGGUCCCUCAAAGGGGCUAUGAAACUUCAGUAGUUCUGUGCUCCUGGCUUCUUUAGAACUGCAGCCCCUUCAGACUUCAGCUGAGGGCAAUCUGAAUGAACAGCAAGCUGGAUGCAUCUGGCAAAUUACCUGCUGGUGAGCAAGUUUUGCUUUGAGUGACAGGGCUGUGUGCCUGUAACCCUAAACAUCACAUUGAAGGCCUUUAUCCUCAAGCCAAGUUUACAGAUUUCAUAAAGGCAUUAAACAAACAGUGCAAUGUUUUCACAUAAACAAACUUAGCUAGCAAAAAUAUUUGCUCCAUUUCCUUUUCCUUUCGUUAGACUUUGUGUGAUUAAUACCUGUGUGUCAGUUAAUGUUUCCCAAAGCUGUCAGCUUCCCUCAUUAGUACUUUGGUGGAAACACCAGGCCAUGCAAAUUACUCUUAGGCCCAAUUACAAGUGGGCAAAUCAAAAUAGUAAGCACUGGUGAGGAAUGCCAGCAGCAGGAUUCCUGCAUAUUUAACAGCCAGGAAGAAAUUCUGUACUCCUCACAUAUUUCUUUUCCGGGCAGAAGACAGGCAAAUGCCAUGCAGGCUGAGGAACAGACAGUUUAUAUUGUUACCAGUUUAUUCUUUAAGCACAGUUGCAAUCGCCUCGCAGUAUAGCUCAACAGAACAAAGUUUCAGGUGACUGAGCCAUGGUUUUGUGGGAAAUCUGUGGGAGAAAUAGGAGCAUUUCACUUAAACCUGUCAUCAUUGCAAAACAAUAGUGAUACUCUUUUAUCUGACAGAUCUCUGCUUUCUUUGGCAUUUAUGAUUUACAUAAAGCAAGUGCCUGUUUUCUCAGCUCUAUCCAAGUGCCUUCACAUGUCUUCAACUUUUCUUGGCCUCUAUAAUACUUCCCAAGGGUAUUCUCAUUAUAAGCUCAAAAACGGGCCUCAGCAACAAAUCCGGUGCUAUGUCUCUAAUUCCUAUCACAAUACCAGGAUGGCAUGGAAAAUAUAGAACAAGUUGGACUUCUCAGUUUAGUCUUCAUCAUCAAUGGCACUUGUGUACCUCCAGUUAAGGAAAACUGGAGAUGUCUUGUUUGGAUAUAGUAUCUUGGGUAGGGAUGGAAGGAUCUGUCAAUGUUGCUUCUCUCAGUUUCUCAUUCUUCCAAUCUUAAAUUCAGUUCUCCACAUAUCUGUAGCAAUUUGUGAUUUUUUUUUAAUCCUCAUGAAAAUUCACAUUUUAGUGUGAAUGUCUGCCAAUCUACAUAUUUUUGUAUGCAGGUUUGACUAACUUACACAUGUCUGAAAGCAUUUCCCCUUACUAUAAUGUAUGUUUGCAUGUUAUUUCCAUAUAUGCAUUUUAUACAAGCAUUCUCCUAAUUUAUGCACGUUUGUACACAUUGGUUGGAGAACUGCAUCGCAAAAUCAGAGAAGAGUGAAGUCUGUAGGAAAAUUGUGAUUUAGUUCACUUAUUGGUUCACUAUGUGCAAAUUAGUUUCUCAUUCAAAUGAAAACAAAAUUGAAUUUUCCCUCCAUCCCUAGACCCAACCCCACAUUUACUCUUAACUGCUAAAAUAAGGCCUGGACAAUAGAAUCACAGGUAGAAGUCAAGGUUGUAAAAAGUUUGGUGAAUGAGCUUUCUUUUAGAUUUUUUCCCCCUUACACAUGCCAUUAAUCUUUCAGAGAGCUUGAUUUCCCUAAAUACCAGCACUCUUCUGCCAGUGGUUAUGGAUCAGUUUGUUCUCGGGAACCUCUGAAGCAUGUUGGAAUGUCUGGGCUCAUUUGGGUGCAUUUUCUGUAGUUUGCAAUAUGAUCUCUGAAGGCUCUGGGGGCCUAGCAAAAACACAGAAAUGCCUCGAAUAGAUGCUUGAUAAUAGACUGAUGCAUAUAAUGGUGGCUUCUGUCACAGAAGAGUUUUUGAAGUCAACCUUCCCUCCCACAUAUGAUAGUUAACUGAGCCUCAGUUAACUCACAGAUAGCUCACAGAGCUAUCUAUUGGGAUUUAAACCCCAAUCUAUUUUUGGACACACCUACUAGUCAUGGAAGAAUGGUAUAGAGAGGUGUGGGAUACAGCUAUGAAUGAUAAAUUAACACAUGCUGUUAAGGUAAGAUGGGGAAUAUGCAGGAGAAAUGAUUUUGAGGAGAUAUGGAAGGUAUCUGUAGAAUUUGUACUCUUAAAACGGAAAGGAGUCAAUCCAUCGCAAGAGGUGUUGAAAUUUUGAGAGGUUGGAUAGUUACAAUGGAAUGGUCUCGGGUGGGGUGCACAUUUUUAUUUUUAUGUAUUUAUUAUUACAGCUUUGUCAAAAGAAAAAAGAAAAGAAAACAAAGAAAGAAAACGGUUUCUCCGUGCAAACAAGGAAGUGAUCUCUGAUAUCUUCCACGUUUUUAUGUGAUCUCUCACACAAUGUAAGAGACACUGCUGGAAAUCUAGUGCAAGGCUAGCACUCAUUUCUGUGUUAAUUGUUUCCAGGAAAAAAAGCAUCUAUUUACAACCCUGUUAAGUUGGAAAAUUGGGGGAGUUUUGAAUUGUAAUUUCAUGUGUCAAAAUCUGGGCCGGUGUCCUGGCAUACUUUUGUUUCCACCAUUUAAUAUUUAAUGCAAUGUGGAAGGAUAUAGAUUAAAAAGCCACAGAACCGUAAUGCAACAGGUAAUACAGUUUAGGAGGAAAGCUAGAAAUUGGGCUAGAAGUGCAAGCAUUAUAACCUGACCUUGACCUCGAAAGGCAGGGAAAGAGGGAGCAGCCAAGUCUUCCAAGGCAGGAAGUCUGCAAGCUUCAGCACCACUGAGGUCUUCUCUAUGUACCCUCCCAUCAUCCACAACAAACUACUCCAAGAGAAUCAAUUUGCCAAGUACUAAGGAUGGUUUUAGGUCAGGCAUCUGGAACAUAUUUGUGGGAGGUUGCGUAGUAAAAUCCAUAUAUCUGUACUAAGGCAGGGAGAACCUGUCAGUUUGGGUUUCUCUCGGUUUCUCAUUUUUCCGGACUUGAGUUCACUUCUCCACAUUUCCACAUCAGUUUGCAGUUGAUUUAUUUGUUUAUUUUAAAGGGAUCCUUGUGAAAAAUCACCAGCAUUUUAAUAAGACUUUCUGCUAAUAUACACAUUUUUUGUAUGUAAUAUGGCCUAUUAUUCACAUUUUUCCAAAAUAAUUUCCCCUACCAUAAUAUUUUUAUUUGUCAGUAUUUGUGUUUUCAUGUUCCUGUUGCCCUCAUAAAUACUUUUUUGCAUUAAUUACUUGACUGAAUAACUACAUAACUACAAAGUUUGGAGACGUGCAAAUUUUGAAUGAUGACCGAUUCAGUUCGUGUAUUUUUUCAGGAGGUGUGUUAGGUUCACCUUUAGAUGUGAACCUUAUACUCUGGUUUCUCUUCAGAUCAUAUACCUCUGAAUCUUAUUUCUCCUCAUCCUUGAUCUCUAUGGAUAGAGUGUUUACACACACACACACACACACACACACACACACACACACUUCUCUUUUCAUUUCCUUUUUCUCUACAACCUAGGGAUUCAUGGAGAAGGAAUUUUAAGCCACCGAUAUGCAAACAAUGACAUUUGAACAUAGAGACACAUUAGGGACUGCACACCUUUGUUGCCUGAGCAAACCUGGAUAAAUUAAAGAGUGUGGUUGCUGCUUGUGAAUGUUCCACACUCAUGGUUCCCACCCAAAUGGCGAUGUUCCCUUUUCACAUUCUGUCUAACUUUGCAGGCGCACGGGAAAGAAAACUGGUUGCAUCUGGUUGAAGCGAUCCAAUAUCAGAUGAUUUCUCAACUCCCCAGCGAUGCACCAUGCCAAAAAAGUAAAUCUGCCAGACCUCCCAAGAACACCAGAGAGCUUUCCUCUCCUGCUCUCCCUCUCAGCAACAGUAAAAUGGGGGGGGGGGUGAGACAGAUAAGAUCGCUUCUUAUCUUAAAGGGGUGUCCUUAAUUCAGUUACAUUUUCAAAGGGAGGACUGUCUCUCAGAACCCAGUGUCCUUCUUUGGAUUUGACCCUUUGACUGUUGCUUAUACAGUAAAAGAAAAAAGAGUGUGGAAAUGGAUGAUGAUGAUUAAAAACUCACCUGAAUGGUCAGGGAUGCUGGGAGUUGUAGUCCCCCAUCUGGUGAAUCUGACUGUAGGUUUAGAGACAACAAAUCGUUUUAAAAUCACCAAAGCAAGCAUUCCUGUCUGCCCAUUGUUGAAUUCUCUUUAAGAUGCUGAAAGUCACGUGAAAGGGCAAUAGUUGCUUGAAAUGCACAUGUGGCUGCGUUUAAGUAAGCAGCACUGUGAUGUGGGGAGAGUGCUGUUGUACUAAUGUCCUGCUUUGAGGUUUCUCUCACUGCAAGAAGCAAAGUUACAAGGAACCAAGCAGAGGGCCUUCUCAGUAGUGGCGCCUGCCCUGUGGAAUGCACUCCCAUCAGAUGUCAAGGAAAUAAGCAACUAUCCUACUUUUAAAAGACAUCUGAAGGCAGCCCUGUUUAUGGAAGUUUUUAAUGUUUAAUGCUAUAUUGUAUUUUUAAUAAUUAAUUGGGAGCCGCCCAAAUUCUUCUUCUUCUUCUUCUUCUUCUUCUUCUUCUUCUUCUUCUUCUUCUUCUUCACAUGGGCAUCUUGUUCGCCACUGUGAUGGGCCUUUGGUUUGACCCAGCAGGGCUCUCCUUACAUUAUUAUGGUUAUGGGAUUACCAGAGAAAUCCUAUAAACAAGAAGCUGGCAUAAAGCAAGCCAGUGCAAGUUAAACUUGUGUAAAGUGCAUCUGGGGCAGGACUAAAAGGUAAAAAUAGGUAAAGGACCCCUGGACGGUUAAGUCCAGUCGAAGGGGCCUAUGGGGUUGUGGCACUCAUCUUGCUUUGAGGCUGAGGGAGCUGGCGUUUGUCUACAGACAGGUUUCCGGGGCAUGUGGCCAGCAUGACUAAACCGCUUCUGCCACAAUGGAACACCAUGAUGGAAGCCAGAGCGCAUGGAAAUGCCGUUUACCUUCCCUCCGCAGCAGUAUCUGUUUAUCUACUUGCACUGGCAUGCUUUUGAACUGCUAGGUUGGCAGGAGCUGGGACAGAGCAACGGGAGCUCACCCCAUCAUGGGGAUUCGAACCGCCAACCUUCCGAUCAGCAAACCCAAUAGGCUCAGUGAUUUAGACCACAAUGCCACUCAUGUCCCUGGGGCAGGACUACUGCUGGCUGAGACAGACUAAGCUUGGCAGAGGAAAAUAAAACCAUUUAAAGGAGUGUUUGUGUUACACCACCCUUUUUUACCAGCUUAACUUUUGCUGUGGGUAAGGUUGCCAAGUUACGGUACAUCACUGAUCUGAACAGGCUUAGCAUCCAACCUAAGUCUCCCCUCUGUGGUCGUGCCCUGUCCUUUUUGUGGAGGCUUACGCUAGCUUAAGAUCAGCCAGGUUUGGCUCAGCCAGCUAGGUCCCAGCUCAGCUGGGUCUGGGAUGGGGAAAAUAUGUUGUGUAGAUCCCCCUGAGCCUAGGAUGUGGAUUUAUGCUGGUAUGACCCAGCUACGCCAGGAGCCUCCUGGCUCAGCUAGAGGCCCACUGGUUCCUAGCCCAACUCAUCCCAGCAGAUCUUGCUAUAUGAUUGCUUCCCCAGUCACUAAGGCGAAGAAGGGCAAUUUAGAGAUGGGACAAUUCUCCUGGAUUAGUUUCAUGAAUGAUUCCAACAUAUCAAGGACCAUGCACAAAUUUUGUAAACUGUUUCGAGGUGCUUUUUAAAAAACAACAAUAAUCAAGCAGUGUAUUAAUUUUAUGUAAUAAGUAAGUAAGUGUAAAAGCUGAAGUGAAUUUUUAAUCGGCUUUACUAUUCUAACUUCUUGUAUGUUUUAAUGUAUUGUGAUGUGUUCCUGAUGUUAUGGUUGUAUCUUUUUGUAAACUGCUUUGAGAUUUUUUACAAUCAAGUGGUGUACAAAUUUUAUUAAAUAAAAAUUAAAUGAAUGAAUGAAUGAAUGAUGUGUCACGAUACCGUGUAGCUAAGACUGACCUGUGUUUCAUAUCACUGAAGACACUUGAGACUGGUAGGAGCAGAGCGCAAGGCAAAUUAACAGGCAAACAAUGUUGCAAUGAAUGCAAAAAGAUAAUCAAAAAGGGGAGUCGUUUUCCUAAACUGUAUAUAAAGUUUCACUCAGCCCAGUGAUAUGAACUAUAUGCCCUCAUUUCAUUCAUAAAUUCAUCCAAAACUGACAAUGAAAAAGGAGCCAAUAUUCUGUUUUGAGUAUUGUGAGUAAUAUGAGAAGGAGAGGAACAUAAUAGAAGGAGUGGGAGAGAGUGAAGGGAAAUAAUUUUCAGUUAUGCAUAUAUUUUAAUGUAGGAAAUAAUUCAUUCUUGAGUAGCCUGUAUCCCUUUGAAAUCUUUAGUGUUCAUAUGAAUAAAACAUUGGGGGGGGGGGGAACACACCAAAAGAUUCAGCGUCAACAUUGUGUAAAGCGACUGAUGACCCACUCAAAAGGCAGAGUGGAAUGGAUUAAAAAUCUGUCAUCCCAGUUAAGCAGAAAACCAUGCUCAACAAUGUACUGUACCUGAAAGUGAAGAAGGAAUGUGUUGCUUUCCGUUCUCUUACAGGCUGCUAUCUAAUAUGACACCCGAU